rnacentral:tRNA from 1 species
GGGGUUGUGGCUUAGUAGGUAGAGUGCUCACCUAUGAUGUGUGAGGCACUGGGUUCAAUCCUAACAUCA